GGCCACUUUAGUCUGUGGUUACUGUAUUAGGUAUUGUUAUAACAAUCUGGAUGGUUUUUAUGAAUAAGACAUUACUGGUCUCUUCUUUA
rfam:Yersinia pestis CO92 complete genome